rnacentral:rRNA from 1 species
ACAUAGUCACUAGAUGAUAUUGGUGAUUAAACCUGCCCAAUGUUUAAUAAUGAAUGGCCGCGGUACUCUGACCGUGCUAAGGUAGCGUAAUCAGUUGGCUUUUAAAUGGAGUCAGGAAUGAAUGGGAAAACCGGGUUUAACUGUCUCCCUAGUAUUAUAUUGAAUUUACUGUUUAAGUGAAAAAGCUUAAAUUACUUAAAGGGACGAGAAGACCCUUAGAAUUUUAUUGAAUUAGAUAAGAUUUAUUUAUGAAAUUUUAUUGGGGCGAUAAAGAAAUAUUUAAAACUUUCUAUUUUUUACAAGCCGAUAUUUUUAAGCAAGAAUAAAUUACCUAAGGGAUAACAGCAUAAUUCUACAGUUGAGUUUGUGACCUCGAUGUUGGACUAGGAAACUAACAGGCUAGCCGUUUGUUGUGUGGGUUCUGUUCGAACUUUAAUUCCU